UGCUCUGUCUUUGCCACAUAAAGAACCUGCUGUACAGACUACACCCUGAGCCACCUCUUGACUUGCACUUGGGGGGCUGUAUAUUACCUCCUUUUUGGUUUCUUUCUAAAUAGGGUGCAGGACAGGAAGACCAACUUCAAUUGGUCUGUAAGCUACACAUUUUGAAGUUAAUGUACAUCUAGGCUUUGUGUGUUUCUUGUGGGCUUUGCUCUGUGCUUUCUUUGGCUUUAUCCCAAGCCUCUUGGGCAAUUAUUUUUGGCUCCUGCAGUGAAUGGCUUUAAAUCAACUUUUUCUGUUCCAAAUGCUUAAUAUAGGGCUUGUCCACAUGUAUUUUUCGUAGUAUUAUUGGAAAGUGUCUCUUGUGAGUAAAUCUUUCUGUCUCUAAUCAGUUGCUGCCAUGUGGGUGCAGCAUAAACACUACGUGCCUAGCCCGACGGAGAAUUCUAAGUGGGUUCUCCACCGGAGGAGCUGAUUCUCACGCCUAUUUCCACAGAAGGGGAAGGUACUGAAAAAUACUCUAGUAGGAUUUCCACAAUAUUCAAUCUCUCCAGACUAGCAUAAGGCCUUUUGAGUCUCUUAAGAUUUGUGGUCAACAAUGGAGGUGAAGGGGCCAACCACAUGUUUUUGGAGUGAAGAAAACCCUUGGGCAGGGCGCUCCCACCGCAAGUGGGAACAGAGGUCAGUGACCACCCUGCGACAGGUCAUCCCAGUGCAUCUGGAAAUCUUCAUAUGAAUGAAAAGGACAGUCAGGGGGUAUGGUGUGAAGAAUACUUAUUAUUUGUCCCCUUUUCAUACUAUGAAAAAUAAGAGUUGAUAAAAUA